GUAGAGGAUGCUUCGGGGCAGCGGCCGGUCUAAGUUCCUUGGAACAGGACGUCAUAGAGGGUGAGAAUCCCGUCUGCGACCGGCUGGCACCCUACACGUAGCUCCUUCGACGAGUCGAGUUGUUUGGGAAUGCAGCUCUAAAUGGGAGGUAAAUUUCUUCUAAAGCUAAAUACCGGCCAGAGACCGAUAGCGCACAAGUAGAGUGAUCGAAAGAUGAAAAGCACUUUGGAAAGAGAGUUAAAAAGCACGUGAAAUUGUUAAAAGGGAAGCGCUUGCAACCAGACUUGUCGACGGUGUUCCGCCGGUCUUCUGACCGGUUCACUCGUCGUCGGCAGGCCAGCAUCGUCUGGGGCCGCCGGAUAAAGGCUUGGGGAAUGUGGCUCCUCCGGGAGUGUUAUAGCCCCUCGCACAAUACGGCGCGCCUCGGGCGAGGUCCGCACUUCGGUAAGGAUGCUGGCGUAAUGGUCGUAAGCGGCCCGUCUUGAAACACGGACCAAGGAGUCGAUCAAUCGUGCGAGUGUUCGGGUGAAAAACCCUUGCGCGCAAUGAAAGUGAACGGAGGCGAGAACUUCGGUGCAUCGUCGACCGAUCCAGAUGUCUUCGGAUGGAUUUGAGUAAGAGCAUGGCUGAUCGGACCCGAAAGAUGGUGAACUAUGCCUGAAUAGGGUGAAGCCAGAGGAAACUCUGGUGGAGGCUCGCAGCGGUUCUGACGUGCAAAUCGAUCGUCAAAUUUGGGUAUAGGGGCGAAAGACUAAUCGAACCAUUAACCUACUAGGUGGUUAAUCUGUCGGACAAACGACACAGGCGGCACAGGGGCCGCCGACACCGUCAAAUUGCGGGGACGCGCUGAGCGUUCUCGCCGGCCGCCGCCCUCGGAAACGGGGUGCACGGCGCGGCGUCCCUAACGGGAUGGCCACACGGCCGGCGCGAAAUUGGUUGACCCGCAGCCAAGUCCGCAGUCGCAGGGGGCGACCCGGACGCAGUUAACAGACUCGACGUCGGUGGGCCGGCCGCAAGGGGCGUCGGCUUGAGAUAGAGUCGGUUCGGCCGCGAGAGCGACCGAGGAACCCAGCGCUAGUAGCUGGGUUCCUGCCGAAGUUUCCCUCAGGAUAGCAGUAACGUUUUCAGUUUUAUGAGGUAAAGCGAAUGAUUAGAGGCCUUGGG
rnacentral:rRNA from 1 species